rnacentral:rRNA from 1 species
GCAGCAGUGGGGAAUAUUGGACAAUGGGCGCAAGCCUGAUCCAGCCAUACCGCGUGUGUGAAGAAGGCCUUCGGGUUGUAAAGCACUUUAAGCAGGGAGAAAAAGUUAUAAGUUAAUACCUUAUAACCGUGAUGUUACCUGCAGAAUAAGCACCGGCUAAUUCCGUGCCAGCAGCCGCGGUAAUACGGAAGGUGCAAGCGUUAAUCGGAAUUACUGGGCGUAAAGCGCGCGUAGGUGGUUUGUUAAGUUGGAUGUGAAAGCCCUGGGCUCAACCUAGGAACUGCAUCCAAAACUAACUCACUAGAGUACGAUAGAGGGAGGUAGAAUUCAUAGUGUAGCGGUGGAAUGCGUAGAUAUUAUGAAGAAUACCAGUGGCGAAGGCGGCCUCCUGGAUCUGUACUGACACUGAGGUGCGAAAGCGUGGGUAGCGAACAGGAUUAGAUACCCUGGUAGUCCACGCCGUAAACGAUGACAACUAGCUGUUGGGAGACAAUGUCUUUCAGUGGCGCAGCUAACGUUUUAAGUUGUCCGCCUGGGGAGUACGGCCGCAAGGCUAAAACUCAAAUGAAUUGACGGGGACCCGCACAAGCGGUGGAGCAUGUGGUUUAAUUCGAUGCAACGCGAAAAACCUUACCUACUCUUGACAUACUUGGAAGCUCUUGUAAUGAGAGUGUGCCUUUUGGAGCCAAGAUACAGGUGCUGCAUGGCUGUCGUCAGCUCGUGUCGUGAGAUGUUCCGUUAAGUCGGAUAACGAGCGCAACCCUUACCCUUAUUUGCCAGCGAUUCGGUCGGGAACUAUAAGGGGACUGCCGGUGAUAAACCGGAGGAAGGUGAGGACGACGUCAAGUCAUCAUGGCCCUUACGAGUAGGGCUACACACGUGCUACAAUGGGGAAUACAGACGGACGCUAAGCCGCGAGGUGGUGCUAAUCCUAGAAAGUUCUUCGUAGUCCGGAUUGGAGUCUGCAACUCGACUCCAUGAAGUCGGAAUCGCUAGUAAUCGCGAAUCAGCAUGUCGCGGUGAAUACGUUCUCGGGUCUUGUACACACCGCCCGUCACACCAUGGAAGUGGAUUGCACCAGAAGUAGAUAGUCUAACCUUCGGGAGGGCGUUUACCACGGUGUGCUUCAUGACUGGGGUGAAGUCGUAACAAGGUAGCCGUAGGGGAACCUGUGGCUG